CGGUAAUUCCAGCUCCAAUAGCGUAUACUAAAGUUGUUGCAGUUAAAAAGCUCGUAGUUGGAUUUCUGCGGGGACGGAGCGGCCGGUCGCAACUUGCGUCGCAACUUGCGACUCGAGCUAGCGCUUUCCCCGCAUCCUGCCGCGAACCGUGCUACCAUUAGUUUGGUGGCGCUGGGGAUCGGCUCGAUUACUUUGAGAAAAAUAGAGUGUUCAAAGCAGGCCACACGCCUUGAAUAAGUUAGCAUGGAAUAAUGACUAAGGACUUCGGUUCUAUUUUGUUGGUGUUCGGGACUGAAGUAAUGAUUGAUAGGGACAGUUGGGGCGGUCUGUAUUCCAAAGCGAGAGGUGAAAUUCUUAGACCUUCGGAAGACAAACAGCUGCGAAAGCGUUCCGCAAGGAUGUUCCCUUUGAUCAAGAACGAAAGUUGGGGGAUCGAAGACGAUCAGAUACCGUCGUAGUCUCAACUGUAAACUAUACCAGCUAGGGAUCGGUCAACGUUUAAUUAUUCGACUUGAUCGGCACCUUAUGAGAAAUCAAAGCAUCUGGGUUCCGGGGGGAGUAUGGUCGCAAGGCUGAAACUUAAAGGAAUUGACGGAAGGGCACCACCAGCCGUGGAGCCUGUGGCUUAAUUUGACUCAACACGGGAAAACUUACCAGGUCCAGACAUAGUAAGGAUUGACAGAUUGAUAGCUCUUUCUUGAUUCUGUGGGUGGUGGUGCAUGGCCGUUCUUAGUUGGUGGAGUGAUUUGUCUGGUUAAUUCCGUUAACGAACGAGACCCCAGCCUGCUAAAUAGCGCGGCUGAGCUUUGCUCGGUGCGAGCUUCUUAGAGGGACUAUGAUGCGCGAUAGCACAUGGAAGUUUGGGGCAAUAACAGGUCUGUGAUGCCCUUAGAUGUUCUGGGCCGCACACGGGCUACACUGGCGCCUGCAACGAGCAUAUCAGCUGGCCCGAGAGGGUCUUGGCUAAUCUUUUGAACCGGCGCCGUGCUUGGGAUUGACCAUUGCAAUUGUUGGUCAUGCAACGAGGAAUGCCUUGUAAACGCGAGUCAUCAGCUCGCAUUGAAUACGUCCCUGCCCUUUGUACACACCGCCCGUCGCUCCUACCGAUGAAUGUUCCGAUGAAAUUUUCGGAGAGCGCCAGAGAACGGGGCUCUGCCUUGCAGAUCUGGAGGCUCAAAGUCACUUAAAUCUGAACAUUUCGAGGAAGGAGAAGUCGUAACAAGGUAACC
rnacentral:rRNA from 1 species